AUCACCUUUUGGCCUUUUGGCUAUGAUCAAGUGUAGUCUCUGUCUUAUCAGUGUAAUAUCUGAUACAUCCUUUAUCUGAGGACAACACAUUAAAUGGACUUUUGGAGCAGAGAGAUGGAAUAGGGGCUAUCUCAGGCCACUACACGCAUCGACCUGGCUUUGCAGUAUCUGCAGGAAUGGUGCAUCUCCU
rnacentral:snRNA from 1 species